GGCGGGGGGCGCUGUGCGGAGCCCGUGUCCCUCCCCGCCCCGCCCGGCCGCCCCUCGCUGCUGCCGCCGCUGGCGGUGGGUGGAUGGUGUUUUCCUCCUCCUCCUCCUCCUCCUCCUCCUGCCGCCGCCGCUGCCGCCGCCGCCGCCUUGUUUACGCUCCGUGCGGGUCUCCCGGUGCUGAGGGAAGCGGGCGGCGGCCCGGGCCCAGAGAGGGAGUGCUGUCCGUGCCCGUCCUCGCUCCCCUCCGCCUGGCGCUGCCCACACGGCGGCCCCGCUCACCCGCUCCUCCUCACACACUCGCCUCUGCCUCUCUCCACUCUGACAGCAAUGGCGGCCGCCAGCCGCAGCUCGCUUCGCCAUUGGCCGGCGCUUCCCCACGUGACUCGCGGCGGAGGGCGGGGGUUCAUCCGGACCCGCUGGGUGCAGCCAGCAGCAGCUGC
rnacentral:lncRNA from 1 species